UACAGAGGGUGCAAGCGUUAAUCGGAAUUACUGGGCGUAAAGCGUGCGUAGUCGGUUAUCUAAGUCGGGUGUAAAAUCCCCGGGCUCAACCUGGGAAUUGCAUUCGAUACUGGAUAGCUAGAGUUCGGCAGAGGGAAGCGGAAUUUCGGGUGUAGCGGUGAAAUGCGUAGAUAUCCGAAGGAACAUCAGUGGCGAAAGCGGCUUCCUGGACCAGAACUGACGAUCAGGCACGAAAGCGUGGGGAGCAAACAGG
rnacentral:rRNA from 1 species